rnacentral:rRNA from 1 species
GACGAUAAGACCCUAAAAGUUUUAUUUAGGUGAAUUAUUUGGGGUUAAGGUCGGACAAGGAAUUGGCUGGGUUAGCUUGUUUAAUAAAACUAGGGUUUUAAAGGACUUUUUGGUUUUUGGUCCUUAAGAUUAGGAUAAAUAGAAUAAAUUACUUUAGGGAUAACAGCGUUAUAAUUUUAGAAAGAUCUUAUUAGUAAAAUUGAUUGCGACCUCGAUGUUGAAUUAAAAGAGCUUUAUGGG